rnacentral:rRNA from 1 species
UGCAAGUCGAGCGGAGUGAUGGUGCUUGCACUAUCACUUAGCGGCGGACGGGUGAGUAAUGCUUAGGAAUCUGCCUAUUAGUGGGGGACAACAUUUCGAAAGGAAUGCUAAUACCGCAUACGUCCUACGGGAGAAAGCAGGGGAUCUUCGGACCUUGCGCUAAUAGAUGAGCCUAAGUCGGAUUAGCUAGUUGGUGGGGUAAAGGCCUACCAAGGCGACGAUCUGUAGCGGGUCUGAGAGGAUGAUCCGCCACACUGGGACUGAGACACGGCCCAGACUCCUACGGGAGGCAGCAGUGGGGAAUAUUGGACAAUGGGCGCAAGCCUGAUCCAGCCAUGCCGCGUGUGUGAAGAAGGCCUUAUGGUUGUAAAGCACUUUAAGCGAGGAGGAGGCUACUGAAGUUAAUACCUUCAGAUAGUGGACGUUACUCGCAGAAUAAGCACCGGCUAACUCUGUGCCAGCAGCCGCGGUAAUACAGAGGGUGCAAGCGUUAAUCGGAUUUACUGGGCGUAAAGCGCGCGUAGGCGGCUAAUUAAGUCAAAUGUGAAAUCCCCGAGCUUAACUUGGGAAUUGCAUUCGAUACUGGUUAGCUAGAGUGUGGGAGAGGAUGGUAGAAUUCCAGGUGUAGCGGUGAAAUGCGUAGAGAUCUGGAGGAAUACCGAUGGCGAAGGCAGCCAUCUGGCCUAACACUGACGCUGAGGUGCGAAAGCAUGGGGAGCAAACAGGAUUAGAUACCCUGGUAGUCCAUGCCGUAAACGAUGUCUACUAGCCGUUGGGGCCUUUGAGGCUUUAGUGGCGCAGCUAACGCGAUAAGUAGACCGCCUGGGGAGUACGGUCGCAAGACUAAAACUCAAAUGAAUUGACGGGGGCCCGCACAAGCGGUGGAGCAUGUGGUUUAAUUCGAUGCAACGCGAAGAACCUUACCUGGCCUUGACAUAGUAAGAACUUUCCAGAGAUGGAUUGGUGCCUUCGGGAACUUACAUACAGGUGCUGCAUGGCUGUCGUCAGCUCGUGUCGUGAGAUGUUGGGUUAAGUCCCGCAACGAGCGCAACCCUUUUCCUUAUUUGCCAGCGAGUAAUGUCGGGAACUUUAAGGAUACUGCCAGUGACAAACUGGAAGAAGGCGGGGACGACGUCAAGUCAUCAUGGCCCUUACGGCCAGGGCUACCCACGUGCUACAAUGGUCGGUACAAAGGGUUGCUACCUAGCGAUAGGAUGCUAAUCUCAAAAAGCCGAUCGUAGUCCCGGAUUGGAAUCUGCAACUCGACUCCAUGAAGUCGGAAUC